GUUCAUGAAGAGAGACUAUGUCCCCCCAACCUGCUCCCAGAGGGGGAAGGGAGAGGGGUCCAUGAUUUCUCCUCUUAAGGGUCUGAGGAAUGGCCUUGUACUGCCAGAAAGGGAGAAAGAGCAUGCUGAGAUACUGCUGCUGCAACACCUAGAUUAGUGUUUGCUUCAAUAACUGGAGGAAGAUGGAUAUACAUCAAGGGCCAGGAAGAAUAAGAGCUAUCUCAGAAUUAG